rnacentral:tRNA from 3 species
GGGUUGUUAGCUCAGUCGGUAGAGCAGUUGGCUUUUAACCAGUUGGUCACAGGUUCGAAUCCUGUACAACCCACCA